CCGGGGCCCGACUGCGGGUGGCAUUUCUGGCUAAGCCGUUAGGCGCGAAUUUUCUGUGUCCAGAAAACACAGGGCACGUUACCCGGUAUCGUGGUCUACACCUCGCCCACAAAUCCAUCCCAGGCUGUAUCCUCAUGGAAGCUUUUUCCAGAUGUGCUUGAGGGUUAAGAUCGCAAUGUGCAAGAAGAAAAAGUGCACAUUGGAAAACCUUCUCUUCGGAGAUAUCUAUAUCUAUAUUUAUAUAUAUUUACAGAUAUGGAGAUAUAUACACACACGUAUCUGAAAACAUUCUGACGUUUUAAAAACGGUAAGACAGACUUUUAUUCAGAACCAUUUCCUUAGAUGUAAGGGACUGCACUGAGGUUUUGCAGCAGGGGAGAGAGAUUGGGGUCCGAAAAUAAUAAGGAAAAGUGGGGAUUUAUAGCCAAGGAGCAGUGUGGGGGACGGUGGAUGGAAAGUCAUUGAGAAGGGGACAUCAAGUGGGGGUUCUGGCUUCCCUGACCUAACAGGAUUCCUGCUGAGGGUGGGCCAAGUUGAUCCACAUCGGGGAUGGGGGUGGGGUGGAGCAGGUGUUGGAAUUUGGUCAGAUAUGGAGGGUAUUCAGACACCUGAGGUGGGGAAUUGGGAUUAAACUGACUUAGCAGGAUUCUUGCUAAAACUAGACUCUGCAGGAACAGAGGAAGGAAUGCCCAGGUUGGGCCCAGUCGUGCAGAGAGCUCGGAGGAGGCUGUCCAGAGUCUGAUCAGGGAGACAUUCUUUGUCAUUCAUGUAUAUACCCAUAUAUUGUAAUAGGCUGUUCUUGUAUGACUAUAAAGAAAUACCUGAGACUGGGUAAUUUAUCAGAAAAGAAGUUUGAUUGGCUCACAGUUCUUCAGGAUUUACAGGAAGCACGGUGCUGGCAUCUGCUCAGUUUCUAGGAAGGCCUUGGGAGCUUAUGCUCAUAACGGAAGGUGAAAGGGGAGCAGGCACAUCCCAUGGCGAAAGCAUGUUC
rnacentral:lncRNA from 1 species